rnacentral:rRNA from 1 species
AUGAACGCUGGCGGCGUGCCUAAUACCUGCAAGUCGAGCGAACAGACGAGGAGCUUGCUCCUCUGACGUUAGCGGCGGACGGGUGAGUAACACGUGGAUAACCUACCUAUAAGACUGGGAUAACUUCGGGAAACCGGAGCUAAUACCGGAUAAUAUAUUGAACCGCAUGGUUCAAUAGUGAAAGACGGUUUUGCUGUCACUUAUAGAUGGAUCCGCGCCGCAUUAGCUAGUUGGUAAGGUAACGGCUUACCAAGGCAACGAUGCGUAGCCGACCUGAGAGGGUGAUCGGCCACACUGGAACUGGGACACGGUCCAGACUCCUACGGGAGGCAGCAGUAGGGAAUCUUCCGCAAUGGGCGAAAGCUUGACGGAGCAACGCCGCGUGAGUGAUGAAGGUCUUCGGAUCGUAAAACUCUGUUAUUAGGGAAGAACAAAUGUGUAAGUAACUAUGCACGUCUUGACGGUACCUAAUCAGAAAGCCACGGCUAACUACGUG